AGUGAACGCUGGCGGUAGGCCUAACACAUGCAAGUCGAACGGCAGCACAGUAAGAGUUUGCUCUUACGGGUGGCGAGUGGCGGACGGGUGAGGAAUACAUCGGAAUCUACUUUUUCGUGGGGGAUAACGUAGGGAAACUUACGCUAAUACCGCAUACGACCUACGGGUGAAAGCAGGGGAUCUUCGGACCUUGCGCGUUUGAAUGAGCCGAUGUCGGAUUAGCUAGUUGGCGGGGUAAAGGCCCACCAAGGCGACGAUCCGUAGCUGGUCUGAGAGGAUGAUCGGCCACACUGGAACUGAGACACGGUCCAGACUCCUACGGGAGGCAGCAGUGGGGAAUAUUGGACAAUGGGCGCAAGCCUGAUCCAGCCAUACCGCGUGGGUGAAGAAGGCCUUCGGGUUGUAAAGCCCUUUUGUUGGGAAAGAAAAGCAGCAGGUUAAUACCCCGCUGUUCUGACGGUACCCAAAGAAUAAGCACCGGCUAACUUCGUG
rnacentral:rRNA from 1 species